UGUUGUGUAUUCCUAAAAAAAUAAAUAAAACUUCUACUUACCUGAAAUACAUAUAUACUACAUCGCGUUUUAAAUAAUUCAGAUAAAUUAAAUUGACAAUCUUUAUAAUUUUUGCGAUUGGGUUAAUUCAACCUAGAAUAUAGGAAAAAACCUGAGAAGACUGGGUAUUUAAAAAAAUCAGUGUUAUACUGAACAUAGUAUUAACUAAAUUAUUCAUAUCAUUAAUUGAGUAAUCUGAAGAGUAAAGUAAAUCCCACUUGGGAAAAUUUUCAGAAUUUAGUUCCAAAAAACGCUUAUAGAAAUCAUCCAUUCAUAAUUGAAAUGUAGAUUGAGGUGUUUCUUGCAUAUUUUAUAUGUAGAUUACAUAUUUCAGAUGGUACAAACAUACAUGUUGUAGGUCAGAGCUAACACCAGAAGCACAAUGAAUUAAUAAAAAAUACUUAACAAAAACAGAAUGAAUCUAAAAUUUUAAACGAACUUGAAUCCCAUAUGCCAUUAUGAAGUGUGUAAUUCUAAUAUUUUACAAGGAUGUAUCGGCAAGGUGCAUCAUCUUCUUGUGAAUAUCAUUGAUUAUUUUGAUGUCAUUUAAGGUAUUCACAGUUUUUUUAGUUUGUCAAUAAUACUUUAUUGAUUUAGUUGAUACUCAGUUUAUUAAUGAAGUUUUCCAUUCUGAAUAAUUUAAUCUUGGUAUAUACCAAUAAUGUAUUCUAAUAAUAUGCAAUAGUUAAUAAUAGUAUAAUAAUGAAACGUAGUGAUUAAUUAGUUCUCGUGAUCGAACAUAAUGUAUGGAAUUAAAUUCAACAGUUGUGAAUGACCAAAUAGGUGAACAAGAAAAUAAUUCUUUCGAGUAAACAAAUUUACACAGAAAAUAUUUGCUUCGAUAGGAAAAUGAAACCAAAAUGUUUUGUAAAUGCAUUGCAUUUUGUAUACCAGUAUCCGUAUCAUUAUUGCGACACCGGUUAGAGCAGGAAGUAAUAGAGUAUCGUAUAUUCUACAGUAUUCAAAUAGUCAGAAUGAUGAAAGUGAAGUAAAGUUUGACUGUGUAUUAAAAAAAGAAGUGAUAAUAGAUAUCAAUUUUGACCCAAGUUUGACAUUAUGCCUACCAAUACCGAUGUACUGACAACAAUAAAGCGUACAACGAUCUAAAAUGUAAAUAUCUUUGCCUGGCUGAGUAAGGAAGUGGUAUUUUCUCCCAGUUAUAAAUUACACAACAGUUCUGAUUACACAGCUCAAAUAUUCAUCAUUUGGUAAACGAUGAAAAUACACACUGAAGGUCAUAGGAUAAAAAAUAACAGAUCUGAGGAAUUAAGUAAUCGUCAAGUUCGUACAGAGAUAACGAAACCCAUCAAAAUCUGUGAUAAGGUAUGAGAAUCGUGAAACUUUCCAAAUACACUCCAAUUCAAACAAAUUCAGUACAAUUGAAAUAGAAUUAAUUCGUUUUCAUAUCAUCGUGUAUGGGCAUUGUUGGUAGUAUAAGUAAUACGUAUAUAGUAAUAAAUUUGUGAGAAUGCAAAAAAGUUAUUAUACUGUCGAUAAGCAAAUCAGUUGUGUUGUGCCGCUAUGUUUCAAGAUAAGCAAAAUUAAUCGUAGAAAUAAAGAUUUGAUUCAAGAAUCAUAUUCAUGUCAGUCGUCUUGGAGCUCUAUAGUAGCGAAAAACUAUACGAGUUAAUUGGUGAUUAGGUCUAAUGAUCUUACAUAUAUUAUAAAGGGUAUAGUAAUCGUUAAAUUGUUUAAUAUCAAAAAUUUUCAAUCAUGUAAAGAUGUAAUAGUUGCAGAAAAAUACUUUUGGCCACCUAUAUUGUAAUAAUAUAUUUUAUUAACCAAAACAAAACAAAUUUAAAUCAUUCGAUCGAAUUGUUUUCGAAUUCCAGUUGCGAUUAUUUGCUACACAAGCAUAUUAAACGAAGGUGUUCGACCAAUUGUGUGAAGAUUGUGCUAAAUCAGUUUAAUAUUUUGCCACGCAUAUAUGUAUUUAUAUUAUACAGCAAUACCAGCAUGUACUCUUACUUAGAAUUAGUAAUUCAACAGUUGUGAUUUGUAUUUUACGUGUUAUUCAUUGUAGAUAGUCCAGUGAAUGUGACACAUGAAACAUUACACAUUUUCGUUUUCUUCUUUCUCUUCUUCUUUUUUUACUACUUUUCAAAUAAUAAGCAUAAAGGGUAGAUAAAUAUAUCAAGACUGAUAAGAGAUAGGUAUAUAUGCACCUACUUUUUCUCAGAAUGCGUAAAUAUUUCACAUUAUAAUACUACGUGAGUAAUACAUUUGUGCAUUUGAAUGUUGUUGAUGGGCUUAUCGAAAACAACAAAUUAAGAGAAAAUAUAAAAACAACAUUCAGGCCCUUUGUUUCGCAUAGUAAAAAUAAGAGGACGAAAAACUAAAUAUUUAAUGGAACCAUCGAUUGCCAAAUCGUUGUUUUUAUUGAAAAGAAACCAAGCCGCGAUACAAUUUGUAUUAGUGUUAAUGGUGAAACGUGUGAUAAAAAAUUAACUCUGCAAGUGUUUAAUAUUUGUAAUCUUCAAAGAUAUUUUCAUACAGAAAAGAUACUGGUGCGAGUGAUAUGCAUGCAAAGAAUCAAUUAAAUGAAUUUGAAAUUAAUAGAUUCGUGAAAAAAAAAAAAUAAGAAAUAACUAAUUUUCACAAUAGUGAUCAGCAAAGUCGAGCACUAAGGCUUCUCGAAUAAGUACGAUAAAAGGCGAGUGAUAAUAUCUAACGAAUUUAGGAACAGGUCGAAAUGAAGGUAAACAAUAAUCGGAGGAUGUGCUGUAGUUGGAUCAACAACGUGGCUUGGAAACAACUCGCCGAUCAAGAAUGAAAAAGGUCUCGAAAUAACGUUGCGUGUGGACCUGUGUCGUAGAGAAUAUACUCGUACUGCAUAUAUCGUAAUACCUGCGAUGAAUGCACCUUGCCAGCUAAAAUAGGUCUGCUAUCAACAAAAAUUGGCCUCUUUCCUUCAGAAGAUAGAAAGAAAUCACCAUUGUUUCUCAAACGUAUGGUGCCCUGACGUCUGGAUACUUUCCAGGCUGGACCUUCUAAGGUUAAAUCAACAUCAACGCUGUGAUCCUUUGUUGAACGACCCACAGUGAUCUUCAAAAAUUAAAAUACUGUUCUUACAUGUUUAAAAAAAUGUGUGUGCAAUAAAAAACCAAUGAUUUGAAAACCAA